rnacentral:rRNA from 1 species
GAUUUCUGGUUCGGCGCACUUGGCCCGCUCCGGUUACGGAGUUGUGUGCCGGUGUGCGCCAUCCAUCCUUCUAGAGUACGACUCUCCCUUCACUGGGUUGGGCCGGAAUCUAGAUCAUUUACUUUGAAAAAAUUAGAGUGUUUAAAGCAGGCUUGCGCUAUGAAUACAUUAGCAUGGAAUAAUAAUUUAGGACUUCGUUUCUAUUUUGUUGGUUUCUAGGGAUGAAGUAAUGAUUGAUAGGGAUAGUUGGGGGUGCUAGUAUUCAUCGGCCAGAGGUGAAAUUCUUGGAUUCGAUGAAGACUAACUUAUGCGAAAGCAUU